AAGUCAUCUUUCUCAUUUCCCACUUCAACACUUAGCAAAUAAAAUAAGAACUUGGAGAGCUCCACAACUCCACUGUUUUCGGCCAAGGAGAGGAAAAAGCAAGAUCAUUUUGAGCCUCUCUAAAAAUAUUUCCUUGAUACAAACCCACUAUAUUGAAGCCCCUAAGUAGCGUGGAAGUAUUGUUUGGGUCAUCCAACCAUCCGUUGUGUCAAUUAGCAAACCCUAACUAUUUGGUGGAUUGAAGAAGAAAGACCUUGGGGAGCCCGAGACGUAGAUUGGGAUUUACUUUAGAUUGGCUAUUUUGGAGUGCGUACGAGGUACAGACGCACAGUUUGGUGAUCCACCGGUUUAGGACACCCCUUUUUUGCUGUUGGAGUGCUCUUCUCCUUUCAGAGCAUAUCUUUUGGUAUAUAUUUUUGUUCGCCAUGUAUGUAUAUAUAUUCGUUCAGGGGUACGGCGGGGCCCUGUCCCGCCAUAUGAUUCGUUUGGUCUGUUAGAGGUCUGUAGACGUAUUUGUGGGUGUGUGUGCCUACUUCUGUUCAGAUGUGGUUGUAUGACCCUAUUCGCUAUGGCAGCUUUGUCGGCGUGCAUUUGUAUAUGUUUUGGGCCGUUGUGCCAUUUGAUAGCCUUGUCGGAUUUUGAUACAUUUGAUAGCCUUGCCGGCUUUUUGAUAUAUAUAUCUGCAUACGGUUGCGUUGA